AGUUUUAAAUGCUUGUCAGCAGCCACUAACUCAGCAGAUGAUCUCCAUGAAGACUGAAUGAAAACACUACAAGAACAAGAAUCAUCAAAAGAGCCUAUCAAGAUUCUAGUUUGUAACCAACAGAUGUCUACAGAAAGAAAACAUGUAAAUACUGAGGCUGAGCCUUGAGGAUAAGGUGUUAAAAACUAUUGGAAAUGCAAGGACACAAGCAGCAGAGUAAAAAAGCAACCUACAGAAUGGGAAAGAACAUUUGCAAAUCAUAUAUGUGAUAGGGAGUUAGUAUCUAGAAUAUAUAAAAUUCUGCAACUCAACAAAAACAAAGUUCUGGAGAUUGGUUGUGCAAUAUUGUGAAUACAGUUUACACUACUGGACUGUAAAAUGGUUAAGAUAUUAAACUUUAUAUUAUAUGUAAACACAAUUUUUUAAAAAGUCAGCACCACAAUAAAAACAAUCAAAAUAUGGUUUAGUUAUAUGGCAGAAGUGUAAAAGCAAUUGCAAGAAAAGCAAAAAUUAACAGGUGGGACCUAAUUAAACUAAAGAGCUUCUUCACAGCAAAAGAAACUAUCAACAGAGCCAAAAGACAAUCUACAGAACAGGAGAAGAUAUUCACGAACUAUGCAUGUGACAAAGGUUUCACAUCCAGACUGUAUAAGGAACUUAAACAAUUCAACAAGCAAAAAACAAGUAACCCCAUAAAAAAGUGGGCAAAGGACAUGAACAGACACUUCUCAAAAGAAGACAUACAAGCAGUCGACAAACAUAUGAAAAAAAGCUCAACAUCACUAAUCAUCCGAGACACACAAGUCAAAACCACAAUGAGAUGCCAUCUCAAACCAGUCAGAAUGGCUAUUAUUAAAAAGUAAAGGAAAACAGAUGUUGGUGAGGCUGCAGAGAAAAGGGAAUGCUUAUAACUGUUAGUGAUAAUGUAAAGUAGUUCAGCCACUAUGAAAAGCAGUUUGGAGAUUUGUCAAAAAAAUUAAAACAGAACCACCAUUUGACCCAGCAAUGUCAUUACUGGGUAUAUAUCCAAAGUAAAAGAAAUUGUUUUACCCAAAAGACACAUGCACUUGUAUGUUCAUCGCAGUGCUGUUAGCAAUGACAUGGAAUCAACCUUAGUGCCCAUUAAUGGUGGACUGGAUAAGGAAAAUGUGGUACAUAUACACUAUGGAAUACUAUACAGCCAUUUAAAAGAAGGAACUCACGUCCUUUGCAGUAACAUGGAUGCAGCUGGAGGCCAUUAUCCUAAGAAAAUUAAUACAGAAACAGAAAGCCAAAUACCACAUGUUCUCACUUAUAAAUGGGAGCUAAACAUUGGGUACACGUGGACCUAACGAUGGGAAUGAUAGACAUUGGGAACUACUACAGGGGGUUAGAGGGAAAGGGGCAAGGGUUGAAAAACUACCUAUUAGGUAUUAUGCUCACUACCUGGCUGAUGGGAUCAGUCAUACCCCAAACCUCAGCAUCAUGCAAUAUACCUAUGUAACAAACCUGCAUGUGUACCCCGAAUCUAAAAUAAAAGUUGAAAUAUGAGAGAAGUGGACUGUCCCAACUGAUAAACAUAGUAAAUAAAUACUAAUACAAUCAUUUCCUUUAUUCACUGUGAAAAUAACAAGUGCUAAAAUAUUGUUAUAAUGUGUCACGAAAAAGUAGUAACAGUACAGCGUUCUGAAACAUCAAGGGCAAGCUAACAAGAUUAUUAUAUUUCUUCUCCAGGAACUACUAUGGGGAGUUUUACUGCUUAAUGCUGAGCAAGGAAAACUUUUUAAAGACUGUUUCCUAUAAAAGAUAGUGUGAGUUAAGUUGUCACUAGGUCCCUAUGGUAUAAAAGUUACUUUAUCUCAUAUCAAAAGUAAAACGGACCAGUUGCAGUGGCUCACACCUGUAAUCCCAGCACUUUGGAACGAGGAGUCAGGAAGAUCAGUUGAGGCCAGGAGUUCAAGACCAGCCUGGGCAACAUAGUGAGAAUAUGGUAUAUAAUGUAAAAGUUACUUUAUCUCAUAUCAAAAGUAAAAACAGGGGCCAGGUGCAGUGGCUCAUACCUGUAACCCCAACACUUUGGGAGGUAGAGUCAGGAUCCCUUGAGGCCAGGAGUUCAGGACUAGGGCAACAUAGCAAGACCCUGUAGCUACAACAAAAAAAAAAAGUUAGCCAAGCAUGGUGGCACAUACCUGUAGUCCCAGUUAGUUGGGA
rnacentral:lncRNA from 10 species